UCGAGCGCUACCUUCGGGUGGAGCGGCGGACGGGUUAGUAACGCGUGGGAACAUACCCCUUUCUAUGGAAUAGCCUCGGGAAACUGAGAGUAAUACCAUAUACGCCCUUCGGGGGAAAGAUUUAUCGGUGAGGGAUUGGCCCGCGUAAGAUUAGAUAGUUGGUGGGGUAAUGGCCUACCAAGUCUACGAUCUUUAGCUGGUUUUAGAGGAUGAUCAGCAACACUGGGACUGAGACACGGCCCAGACUCCUACGGGAGGCAGCAGUGGGGAAUCUUAGACAAUGGGCGAAAGCCUGAUCUAGCCAUGCCGCGUGAGUGAUGAAGGUCUUAGGAUCGUAAAGCUCUUUCGCUAGGGAUGAUAAUGACAGUACCUAGUAAAGAAGCCCCGGCUAACUCCGUGCCAGCAGCCGCGGUAAUACGGAGGGGGCUAGCGUUGUUCGGAAUUACUGGGCGUAAAGCG
rnacentral:rRNA from 1 species